UUUCCGUAGGUGAACCUGCGGAAGGAUCAUUACUGAGUGAGGGCCCUCUGGGACCAACCUCCCACCCGUGUUUAUUAUACCUUGUUGCUUCGGUGAGCCCGCCUCACGGCCGCCGGGGGGCAUCUGCCCCCGGGCCCGCGCCCACCGAAGACACCUAGAACUCUGUAUGAAGAUUGCAGUCUGAGCAAAAACUAAAUAAGUUAAAACUUUCAACAACGGAUCUCUUGGUUCCG
rnacentral:misc_RNA from 1 species